AUUGAACGCUGGCGGCAGGCCUAACACAUGCAAGUCGAACGAGCGGCGGACGGGUGAGUAAUGUCUGGGAAACUUCCCGAUGGAGGGGGAUAACUACUGGAAACGGUAGCUAAUACCGCAUACCAUCAGAUGUGCCCAGAUUGGAUUAUCUAGUAGGUGGGGUAACGGCUCACCUAGGCGACGAUCCCUAGCUGGUCUGAGAGGAUGACCAGCCACACUGGAACUGAGACACGGUCCAGACUCCUACGGGAGGCAGCAGUGGGGAAGAUUGCACAAUGGGCGCAAGCCUGAUGCAGCCAUGCCGCGUGUGUGAAGAAGGCUUUCGGGUUGUAAAGCACUUUCAGCGAGGAGGCGUUACUCGCAGAAGAAGCACCGGCUAACUCCGUGCCAGCAGCCGCGGUAAUUC
rnacentral:rRNA from 1 species